CCCUUAGAUGUCCUGGGCCGCACGCGUGCUACACUGACACUUGCAACGAGUACUUUGCUUUACCGAAAGGUAAUGCUAAUCAUCAAUAAGUGUCGUGAUGGGGAUAGAUCUUUGGAAUUCUGGAUCUUGAACGAGGAAUGCCUAGUAAGCGCAGGUCAUUAGCCUGCGCUGAUUACGUCCCUGCCCUUUGUACACACCGCCCGUCGCUCCUACCGAUUUCGAGUGGUCCGGUCAAUCUUUCGGACUGCGCGCAGCUUCGUGCCGUGUCGCGGAAAGUCAGGUAAACCUAAUCACUUAGAGGAAGGACAAGUCGUAACA
rnacentral:rRNA from 1 species